GGGGGUAUAGCUCAGUGGUAGAGCGCGUGCUUAGCAUGCACGAGGUCCUGGGUUCAAUCCCCAGUACCUCCA
rfam:Equus caballus chromosome 20, whole genome shotgun sequence.